rnacentral:rRNA from 1 species
GGGCAGCGGGGAGCAAGCUUGCUUGCUCUGCCGGCGACCGGCGCACGGGUGAGUAACACGUAUGCAACCUGCCCUCCGCAGGGGGAUAACCCGGAGAAAUCCGGACUAAUACCGCGUGGUACACCGGUGGGGCAUCCCACGGGUGUUAAAAGGAAGUGAUUCCGGCGGAGGAUGGGCAUGCGGCGCAUUAGCUAGUUGGCGGGGUAACGGCCCACCAAGGCGACGAUGCGUAGGGGUUCUGAGAGGAAGGUCCCCCACACUGGUACUGAGACACGGACCAGACUCCUACGGGAGGCAGCAGUGAGGAAUAUUGGUCAAUGGGCGGGAGCCUGAACCAGCCAAGUCGCGUGAGGGAAGACGGUCCUAUGGAUUGUAAACCUCUUUAGGCGGGGAGCAAUGCCGGGCACGCGUGCCCGGAGGGAGAGUACCCGCAGAAUAAGCAUCGGCUAACUCCGUGCCAGCAGCCGCGGUAAUACGGAGGAUGCGAGCGUUAUCCGGAUUUAUUGGGUUUAAAGGGUGCGUAGGCGGAUUUUUAAGUCAGCGGUAAAAUGUCCGGGCUCAACCCGGGCCGGCCGUUGAAACUGGGGAUCUUGAGUGGGCGAGAAGUAUGCGGAAUGCGUGGUGUAGCGGUGAAAUGCAUAGAUAUCACGCAGAACUCCGAUUGCGAAGGCAGCAUACCGGCGCCCGACUGACGCUGAGGCACGAAAGCGUGGGGAUCGAACAGGAUUAGAUACCCUGGUAGUCCACGCAGUANACGAUGAAUGCUAGUUGUCCGGNUCUUUGGGACUGGGUGACACAGCGAAAGCGUUAAGCAUUCCACCUGGGGAGUACGCCGGCAACGGUGAAACUCAAAGGAAUUGA